rnacentral:rRNA from 1 species
UACGUAGGGUGCGAGCGUUGUCCGGAAUUAUUGGGCGUAAAGAGCUCGUAGGCGGUGUGUCACGUCGGCCGUGAAAGUCCGGGGCUCAACUCCGGAUCUGCGGUGGGUACGGGCAGACUAGAGUGAUGUAGGGGAGACUGGAAUUCCUGGUGUAGCGGUGAAAUGCGCAGAUAUCAGGAGGAACACCGAUGGCGAAGGCAGGUCUCUGGGCAUUAACUGACGCUGAGGAGCGAAAGCAUGGGGAGCGAACAGG